UACGGAGGGGGCGAGCGUUGUCCGAAGUUACUGGGCGUAAAGGGCGCGUAGGCGGCGCGGUAAGUCACUUGUGAAAUCUCUGAGCUUAACUCAGAACGGCCAAGUGAUACUGCAGUGCUAGAGUGUGGAAGGGGCAAUCGGAAUUCUUGGUGUAGCGGUGAAAUGCGUAGAUAUCAAGAGGAACACCUGAGGUGAAGACGGGUUGCUGGGCCAACACUGACGCUGAUGCGCGAAAGCAUGGGGAGCGAACAGG
rnacentral:rRNA from 1 species